rnacentral:lncRNA from 1 species
CUUAGCCCUGAAAGCACUGAAGACCCAGGAGGCCAGGCAAAGUGGUCAGAGGAGUGGCCCCACAGCUGGUGGUCAUUAACAGCUCAGGGUUGCAUAAAAAGCAGCAGGGGAUGGUUUUGGUCAGCCGGACUAAAGUUACUGAACCAAAUCCUGGACCCUCAGUUCCCUGACCCUUCCCAUUCAGCAAUUUCCACAGGUAUUUUCUUGGAGAGAAAGGGAAAUGAAAAGUUUGAUAGAGAGGAUGGUUCUCCUUCUUGACCACUGUUGAUGGAGGGACAGGAUCAAGAAGCAAGAGCUGACUUUGGCUGAUGCUUGUUAUGUGCCUUAUGGUGCUAGGACAUCUUGUAUAUAUUAUCACAUUCAAUCCUCAUGUGAUCCUACAGAAUAGGUAAGUUAUUCCCAUUUUUAAUUUAAGGCCCUCAAAGGCCCGAACAAAGAUCAAAUAGCCAGUGCAUUUGCAGAGCCAAGAUUCAAAUCUAAUUUUAUUUGGCCUAUCCCCUGAAAGUAUGAAAAAGAGGCAGAAUUUAUUUAAAUAAUUAGAGUCUGCAAUUGAGUUUCUAAAUAGAAGUAUAAUUAAUGACUUUGUUUAUUAUUUCUCUCUCACAGUAACAAUCAGCAUCAAUUUCAGUGAAUAAGAGUCUACUGAGUACUUACUAAAUGCUCAGUUAUUAGGAUUUGAUGAGCAAGGAUAGUGUUCUAUGUGAACAAUGAGAGGAACAGAGAGCAGAACAGUUAGUGUUAACAAGCUUUUUCUAAACACAUAAGCACUGAACUGGUUAUUCAGAAUAUAAAGCUAAGAAGUAUAAUACAUGGUCCUCACUCUCCAACACUUACAGCUUAGUUACUUCAGAUGGCAUUUGUGUUUUAUCUUGUACAGGAUCUACACAUACCUAUAAAAGACGUAGAGAAUGCAAAGACAGAUAAGCCUGGACCUUCUGUCAUGAAGCUCACAGUCUAAAGGUGGGUCAGACUCGCAAACAGGCACUUUCAAUGUAAGAUACUGAGUUAGAGAUAAACACAGAUUGUCAUAGGAGCGUGGAGAGGAA